AGGGCACCACCAGGAGUGGAGCCUGCGGCUUAAUUUGACUCAACACGGGAAAACUCACCCGGCCCGGACACUGGAAGGAUUGACAGAUUGAGAGCUCUUUCUUGAUUCAGUGGGUGGUGGUGCAUAGCCGUUCUUAGUUGGUGGAGUGAUUUGUCUGGUUAAUUCCGAUAACGAACGAGACUCUAGCCUAUUAAAUAGAUCGUUGGCUUACAAACGCCGGCGAGACUUCUUAGAGGGACAGGCGGCGAUUCAGCCGCACGAAACAGAGCAAUAACAGGUCUGUGAUGCCCUUAGAUGUCCGGGGCCGCACGCGCGCUACACUGAAGUGAUCAGCGUGCAUUUUGAAACCUACUCUGUCAAGAGUGGGGAACCCAAUGAACCUUCUUCGUGAUUGGGAUAGGGGAUUGUAAUUAUUCCCCUUGAACGAGGAAUUCCCAGUAAGCGCGAAUCAUAAGUUUGCGCUGAUUACGUCCCUGCCCUUUGUACACACCGCCCGUCGCUACUACCGAUUGAAUGUUU
rnacentral:rRNA from 1 species